rnacentral:rRNA from 1 species
AUUGAACGCUGGCGGCAGGCCUAACACAUGCAAGUCGAGCGGAUGAAGGGAGCUUGCUCCUGGAUUCAGCGGCGGACGGGUGAGUAAUGCCUAGGAAUCUGCCUGGUAGUGGGGGAUAACGUCCGGAGACGGGCGCUAAUACCGCAUACGUCCUGAGGGAGAAAGUGGGGGAUCUUCGGACCUCACGCUAUCAGAUGAGCCUAGGUCGGAUUAGCUAGUUGGUGGGGUAAAGGCCUACCAAGGCGACGAUCCGCAACUGGUCUGAGAGGAUGAUCAGUCACACUGGAACUGAGACACGGUCCAGACUCCUACGGGAGGCAGCAGUGGGGAAUAUUGGACAAUGGGCGAAAGCCUGAUCCAGCCAUGCCGCGUGUGUGAAGAAGGUCUUCGGAUUGUAAAGCACUUUAAGUUGGGAGGAAGGGCAGUAAGUUAAUACCUUGCUGUUUUGACGUUACCAACAGAAUAAGCGCCGGCUAACUUCGUG